rnacentral:rRNA from 1 species
UACGUAGGGUGCAAGCGUUGUCCGGAAUUAUUGGGCGUAAAGAGCUCGUAGGCGGUUUGUCGCGUCUGCUGUGAAAACUCGGGGCUUAACUCCGGGCCUGCAGUGGGUACGGGCAGACUAGAGUGCGGUAGGGGAGACUGGAAUUCCUGGUGUAGCGGUGAAAUGCGCAGAUAUCAGGAGGAACACCGGUGCGGAAGGCGGGUCUCUGGGCCGUAACAUGACG